GUAGGUGAACCUGCGGAAGGAUCAUUACCGAGUUCAUGCCCUUCGGGGUAGAUCUCCCACCCUGUAUACCUUAUCCAUGUUGCUUUGGCGAGCCGACCCUUUAGGCCAUCGGCGUCUCGCUGGUGUGCGCCCGCCAGAGGCCCCGAAACUCUGAUAAUGAACGUGCCGUCCGAGUAUUAUAUAACAUAUUAAAACUUUCAACAACGGAUCUCUUGGUUCUGGCAUCGAUGAAGAACGCAGCAUCUGACUG
rnacentral:misc_RNA from 1 species